rnacentral:misc_RNA from 1 species
GAAAUGCGAUAAGUAAUGUGAAUUGCAGAAUUCAGUGAAUCAUCGAAUCUUUGAACGCACAUUGCGCCCGCCAGUAUUCUGGCGGGCAUGCCUGUCCGAGCGUCAUUUCAACCAUCAAGCCCCCGGGCUUGUGUUGGGGACCUGCGGCUGCCCGCAGGCCCUGAAAACCAGUGGCGGGCUCGCUGUCACACCGAGCGUAGUAGCAAUCACCUCGCUCAGGGCGUGCUGCGGGUUCCGGCCGUUAAACAGCCUUACAAAACCCAAGGUUGACCUCGGAUCAGGUAGGAAGACCCGCUGAAAUUAAGC